UUUUUUUUUUUUUGACUUGUAAAAUAUGUUUUGUUAUAACAAUUGUGUGGUUUGAGUCGAUUUCUUUCUCUGAUUUUCUUCUUAGCUGUUGAAAUUUUUGUCAAGAUGAUUUCAAAUGGCAUUAAUCCCUAUUUAUAGUCGUGGGAUAUAAAAAAUAUUCAUAUAUAUGUUCUAUUUAAUUGGUUAAUAUGAACAUGAUUUGCGUCUCAUGCAUGAUUAGUUACAAAAAAAAAUGGCAAGUAAUUUCAAUUUGCAAUUGAACACGUGGCAGUUUAUGAUUUGCCGAUGAUACAUAAAUUGAGAUAUAAUUAUUUAAAUAUUUAUUUAUAAUUUAACUUUGAUUAAAUUCCAAAUUUUAAAUUAGAUUGCACAAAAACUUGUGUCUAACACAUUUAAUGUGAGUGAUUUUAUUAAUGUUUUGAUUAAAUCUUGAGUUAACUACAAAGGUGCAUGUGCAGCACCAACUUUUUAGCAUGUUUCUAGCCAUUCCACAUGGAAUUAAAUUACACAUGGCCACAAGGAAAAAAAUAAUAUACAUAACCAUUUUUUUUUUAAUAGGUAAGAAAAAAUAAUACAAAAGAAACAAAACAAAACAUAUUGUUGAUUAAAAAUUCUCAUUGAUUGUUUUAUAAAAUGUGAAUAUUCUUCUCAUGGAUUUGGUGCAUUGUACGUGUUGAUUCUUCACAAAAAAUAAUAGAUUUGACUAUGGACACACACAAUCAACAAAAUCACAUGAGAUCCAUAUAUAUGCAUAAAAUAUAUAUACAUACAAUGAAUUGAAAAUAUUGUGAUAAAAAAGAAUGAAUAUUAAAUGUGACAGUCCAUAAAAUAAGUUAUUCUUGAACCUACUUAUGCAAUGGAUGUCCGACAAAAGUUUAUUUAAAAGAUUUUAUAAACUUUUAAAUAAAAUCUCAAGUAUGUAGGAACAUGUUGUUGGGACCUUGGAUAGAAUAACAUAACAAUAUUAACAGAUAGAGAAAAUAGUUAGAAAUAUUCAUUUUGAUUUAGUAAAAAAUAGUACUUAAUUUUGGAUGAAUGUUCAAAAUUGUAGUUGAUGUCAUAUUUGUUCAUCAAAAGAUAAAUUCAUAAUAGUGUAUAUAUGUUUAUCUUUUUUUUAUUUAAAAUAGUCUAGAAUCUACUUUUUACUUAAUUAUCUAAAAUAGUUAUAUAUUUGUUAGUUACUUCCUUCUUUUUUUUAUUUUAAAUGUCUCAUUAGAGUAAAUUCCAUAAAUAUAAAUUAUAAGUCCACACACACUACAUAUGUAUAUACUAUUUGCUUCUCCAAUGAAAAGUAUGAUAAGAUACUUGGGUGGAAUCUCUCUCUCUCUCUCAAUCCACUAGUGAGAGAAAAUAAAACACACAUAAAUUAGUGACAAAGGUAACAUGGGGGAGUGAAGGAAAGUGAUAAUUGGUGGUGGGGCCAGCAGCUCCUUUAGCAGCAGUAUAAAUUAGGAGCAAUCUUUAAAGAAAAUUGAUAGAAAGUCUCAAACAUUUAUCUACCAUUGUCAAACCCCACCUCAUUUUUGCUUCCACAAGCACAAGAAAUUUAUCCCACUCUGCACAAAUUUUUAGGAAAAAGAAGAUAACUUUCUUGAGCUCAAUUCUCUCCACUUGUAAGUAUAUCUGUGGUUUCUUUCUUGAUGUUGUUUUCUAUAUUUAAUGGGUUUUGUGGGUUUUAUUGCAAUAUUUAGAGGAGUUUUUUGGGUGUGUAAAGAUUCCAACUUUGUUUGGAUCUCUCCAUUUCCAGAGGCCCUUUUCCUUGUUUUUAGGUUUUAGUUUAGUGUUUCUUGCUGUUUCAGUUGAUGAUGGUUAGUUAAUUAUAGCUUGAUACUUAUUUUGAUUGUACUGUGUUUUUAUGAUAUUGAUUCUGAUUUGUCUGAUUUAUAAGAUGGAUUGUUUGUUAGUUGUUACAAUUUGCAUCUGUGUGGGUAGAAAAAUUCAUUCUUGAUUUUCCUUUCCAACUAAGCUUAGUCUCUCUCUCUCUCUCUCUCUCCUCAAAUUCAUGGGCAAAAUCUUUUACUUUUUAGCUUUUUUCUUGGCUCUUUGUCUAUGAAGUCUAGAAUAUUGCUUGGUGAUUGGGUCUUGUGACUUGAAUUUCACACACACACACACACAGAGAGAUGCUGUUGGAGGUGGGGUAGGGGUGUGUGUGUGGGUGGGUGGUGGUGGGGGGGGGGGGUGAAGAAGAUAAAAUAAGAGGAGCUUUUGGAUUCUAGAUGUGUUGUUUACCUAUAAUUGUCAUCUUGCUAUAAGAAGUGGGGUUUUCUUUUAUCUUUUCAUUUUUGUACCCACUACCCCUGGGGCGUGGGCGUAGUAGUAUCUCGACUCGACCUAGAUGACGUUGAUGGGCUUUAACACGACGUUGCCACUUGGGCUAAGCUGUGGGGCUAAUAAUGUAGGAUGGGUUUAUCCUCACCUUUUUGCAUAGUACCAAGACACUUGGCUGUUUUCCUAUUGAUGAGUUAUAGAUAAUAUAUAUGCAAAUGCAUUACAUAUAGGUUACACUAUGUUUGUAUGUAUUGUUGAUUGAUUUGCUUGAUGUAUCAAACUCGGUUGCUUUUGUUUGUUUGCAGUGAUUUAUUAGAAGCAUUAUCUUGUAACAAAAAUAGGAAAGAAAAGAUUUGUGUGAUGCUCCGAAUUCAUUGAUUGCUCGUUGCAUUUCUUGUAACAUCUUUGGAAUGGACGCGUUUGCUUUUCAGAACUGCCCAUGUCUCGUUCGUGCUUUUGUUCGUUUGCAGUCAUUCACUUGUUGCAUUUCUUGUGACACAUCGAGAAUGGAUGUGUUUGAUGUUUAUUGAUCGAGUUGGCUAGAUGGAAGGACGGGGUUGAGGUUGGGGUUGGAGUUCGUCUAAGUUCAUCAUAUUGUUCUUGCAUAUGCUCGUAGUUUAUAGUGUUUCGUCGUGUUUGCUUUGUGGCUAAUCCGGAAAACUUGGGACUUUGCGUAGAUUCAGGCUCGAAAAAUGGCGAUUUCAUCUUACCCGACUCCGGCAGACGCUGGAGUGCUCUGCGUGAUCCUGGCUAACACGGCCAUAUCCAUCUCGAUCUUCAAGGAGAUCUUCCGCUCCUUCCUACACGUCAUAGGCAUUAACAUAUCCUCGUGGGAGGACUUCACGGUGGAGCCCUCAAGCUCGGGCGAAUGCUGCAGGCGUCCCUCGGAGUCGUACGUGGAGGAGUUUAGGAGCUGCUCGCCAUCAAUGCAGUACGAGUCGGUCUUCAUCCGUCAAUGCCCCAAGCAGGAGUGCUCCAUCUGCUUGACAGAGUUCGAGCCCAAGGCAGAGAUCAACCAGCUCGCCUGCGGCCACGUCUUCCACAAGCCGUGCCUCGAGAAGUGGCUCAACUACUGGAACCCGACGUGCCCCCUCUGUCGGAACUACAUGAUGCCACAGGAAGCCGAGGAGGACGCCUCCUCCUGCCCCAUGUGAGGUAAAAUCUACGAUCCACGACGUAUGUACAGCAUAGCGUGUAAAAAAAGAGAAGUAUCCGUUAGAAUCGCGAAGACCAUGUGGUCCGAUGCAUAUACUUAAGCUGCCAGUAUUCCGCGUCCUCCUUGUAGCGACGGGUCAGCACGACUUGUAUCUGUGUUUGUAUAUAUUAUGGGAAGCUUUCGAAGAACUUUUGAGGCGUUUACGUUAAACGUGUUGUUCGUGCUCAUAAAUUCACCGUCUUUCGAUUAUAAACAGGGUCGAUAAACCUAGACGGGGCGAUGCUCGUUGCUCGUUGAAACGUUCAACGAGCAACAAGGGAUCUGCGGGAGUUUGUACAAAGUUACAUGUUUGGAAAGGGUCAAGAAAGCAAUACACACACAGCAUAACCUAAUCAAGAUAUCUAGUCAUGAUCGCAGCAGGUACGAUGAGCUCCGGCGAUUACGAGCCCUGGCUACUCGGGGCGACGGCCCCGAGCUUCGUGCCGACGGGCAUGUUCGCCCCGAGCUCCGAGAGCUUGGCGCCCACGGAAACGCUGUUGCGCGUGAGGCCCGUGUUCCGAUGCAUCCGGCACCGGAAGGAGCCGGCGUGCGUCGUGGGCGAGCAGAGGCAGUUGCUUUUGAGGCUUCUGGACUUCGCCAGCCCGACCGGCGACGUCGGCACCGAGGCCGACCGGGACACAGUGUUCAUGGCGCUUAUGCUCGGAUUCGGGAUAGCGAUUAUAGGUUUCUCUCGUUUCUGCAUCUUUCUAGAUUCUUCUGCCAUUUUCGAUCGGGUAGAAGAAACCUAUUAAGCACAAGAAAUUUAUUAUGUGAAACGAGAUGAGAUUCGAACUCACGAUAAUUCAUUCUGGAGUUAAAUAACAAAAGAAUGAUAAUUUAACGCUAUGAAACGUAGGAAACAAACACGAAGAUAUAAUUACCUGAGAAUUAUUACAGAUCAAAUGUGUUGCAAAGGUUGUUGAUUGUGUUUUUUCCUCAAAUUUUUUCUCUCUUUUUUGUUAUUGAUUAUAUCUUUCUCUCUGUUUCCCAAUUUCGUCCACAGUUUUUCUGAAUCUUUCCAUUUUAUAUUUUGAGGUUUCGGUAAAUCCUGAUUUUUAGCCACAAAAAUAUAUAUUUGUUUUUAUUAUCAUUAAUUACUAUUUAUUAGAGGAUUUGUUCAAGUGAUAGUGCAUGCCACGUUUAAAAAUGUGUAGACGACGAUUUCACAUUGUUCAAUUACAUAUUAUUCGUAUAAUUUAUGAAUGAAAAUACAAAAAUCAGAUUUUCGAUUAAUAUGUUGAUUACACCAAUUCCAGAUGAAAAAUUUAGUAUACUGAAUAAAUAUUGCUCCACAUUUUUUUUUCUUUUUCUUAUAAAGCUCCACAUUAUUUUAUGACGUGGGAAAAUUAAGCGUCGGAAUUAAACUAGGAAACAUUCUCGGUGAAGAAAAGGAAAAAAGAAAAAAAGAAAAGUAAUUUUCCUCUCAUAUUUAAAAGUUUCACAAAUACUUGGGUACAAUCGGGUUGACCCACGCUCAAAAUAAUGUUAUUUACACGAUUCGGAUCAAGAUAUAAAUUCGAAUCAAAGUGCGAAUCAAGGUCUGAGUGACGAUGCAGCCAAGUUAUACGAUACAUCCGAUUGUACUCAAGACAGUUUAAGUUUAGCCUUGUUGUUGCUCCUUUGCGAUCACCCAAACAAUGGACCUCUCCUCUCGAAUAAAAUAUAAAGUUUGUCGUUUUAGUAAAUAAAUAAAAAAUAAAAAUCUGCGUGCAUAUAUUAAUGUCAUAAUAUAAAAGUAGAGUGGUUAAUGCUUGAAGAUAAGAGACUCAGUUAAAUUUACACGCUCCGAAUUCAAACACAAACGUAGCAAGAUUCUAGCAUACAUGAUCUUGUACCUUAGGAAAUCCAAAACAUGAUUUACUAUGUAAUAUAUGUCUGUAACAAGACAAAGCCCGUGAGGCCGUACCAACGUAACCCUCGGAUGAUCUAGUCGGUGGAAUGAACGAUCUCAUGACUAAAAAGUCGCGAGCUGAAUGGCCCAUAAAACUACGAUUUAUGGACUCUGAGAAAGAGAGUGAAUCAGAGGCCAAACACAUUUGCUUGCCAAACCAACAAACAACAAAAUUUCCCAAUCAAAACAAGAGGCCAUCAAUUGCUACAAAGCAUCGAAAUGAUAUCGUUAGGAGACAUUCACUUUUAAGAAUUAACCUCGAUAGAUAAAAAUAAUAUACACUAAUUUUGCUUCAUUCUUUCUAUUGAAAGGGUAGGAUUAGAGAAAUCCUAGUAAUAGCAUACAAAUACUCAAGAUAGGAGUACAUUUUAUCAAUCAUGAAAAGUAAACACGAUAUUUUGCAAUUUGUACUUGUGUUAUCUAUGCUCUUAGCUAGUCUACAAGUUAUGGGAACUCAUCAGCAAACUCAAGAUCACACACAAACCAAUAUAUGAGAAAAGGGAUGCAAAUAACUUUGGCAAAUCAAGACAACAUCAUCAUUCAUAAAUAUACAUGUCAAACAUAUAGUAUUUGAAAAGUUGUAAGGGUGAUAGCAGCAAAACAAACUAGAAGAGUUGUAGUAAUUAAAACUUCUGCUCAUAAAUAAUGGAUGCAAUAUAAGUCAAAAUGGAAAGCACAUUAAAGUACACCAACAAAUGAAACAAAUCUAUCUGUGUCCCUUCGAAAUACCAGUAAUCCCGAGAGCUUAUAACGUUAAUCUACCAUUAAUGAAACAAAAAGGAACUCGAAAAGGAGAAACCUAGCAAGCAACACAAAGAGAGAGAGAGAUAAUAGUACACAUGCCAUUGUUUCAAAAACAAGCAUGAAUGAGGAGUGGACCUUUUGGUGUGUGUUAUCUUAGCUAGCAGAGCCGUGCACGUAUUGAUUCCAUCCUUGCAAUCCUUCGUGAGGUCGUUGAAAGUCUCAAUCUGUUUCUUCCCCCUCAAGAACACCUCAGUGUCGACAGAUAUCCUCAUGUAACCAUCAAACUCCACCGGAUUCCCAUUGUUGAGCUUCGUCAUCUCAGCAUACCAAUCACUCUCCGAAUUCCAGAGGUCCUUGUACUCAUCGAGGAAGUGUGUGGAGUACUUGUCCUUCAAAGGUCAAAGAAGGACGUCUCCUGCUCAUUUGUCGCGAUAUAGAGGUUCCUUCCAUCUUCAAUCUUGUAUUUCAAAGCUGACAAAAGCGCUUCUGGGGAAGUGUCUCUAUCAAGAUUCGGCCACAGCUCCUUGUUGGCCGCCUUCUCCCCUCUCUCGACAUGGACAGCAUCAAAAUCCCAAUUCAUUCUGGAUGAAAUAGCAGAGGUGAUAUCCAGCAACCUUCUGGACUUCCAAAUCAUCUUCCACGGCCGUUCAAUGACAGAUUCUGCUUCACCUUCACAAACUCGGUACCAAUAGUUAUCAGGCUCCACGGACCCAAACUUCCUCAUGAUCACAGUGUCCUUGACAUUAGCUAACUUCAUUGGCGCGACCCUGAAAUCCUCCACGAGAUGGAGACUCAACCGAUCCUUCUUUUGCCAUUUCCCCCAAUCCGACCAAAACUGAGUCUGGUCCAACACUGGAGCCGAAUCCAUCAAGUGCUCAAAGUCGAAGUAAAAUCUGAAAUCUUUACCCUCCUCAUCCUGACCAGACGAAGUGUACAUCUUCGACAAACACAUGCUCAGAUCCAUAACCAGCGUUCGAUUCAAGUACUGCGCCUCGCCCAACAUACACAUGAAACUCCAAAGAUACUGAUUCAUGCUCUUGCACCUAUCCCCUCCACCAGAAUAUAUCAAGUACUUACUAUGACUAAACGAGCCCUCCGACUCAACUGCAGGAAGAGAAUCAUCCACAGUCUCCCCAACAUCCGGCAGGGCAACCGGAUUCUCAUCCACCUUAGCUGGAACCUUCUCAAACACCUCCUUAUCCUUCUCCCUGUUCUUCCCCCUCCCUUUUCCCCUUCUCUUCCUAGCAUUCCCACCCGAAUGAUAAUCCCCAAUGCCAACCACACUAAGCGUGCAAUUCUCAGCCCUAACUAGUGCAAAACUCCGAUAAUCCUUGUAAAAGCGGCAGCCUUCCCUUCCUUGGGCCUAAACCGCCACGCCAUGUGGCAAGAGGUGGCAUUGUCCCCAGCCACCGGCUUCCCAAAUCGGUAGAAAUGAAUGUCUUGAAAUCUCUCGAUGGUAGACCUCAUCAGGAGAUGGAAAACAUCGGGAUCGCGACAAUUAACCGGCUCAUCGGUCCUACAUUCUCCGGUCUCCGAGAUCGCCUCGGUCUCCUCUGGCGUGGUGGCUUGAACCACGGAAUCAACAUCAGUUAUGUUGAUAAAAGUUGCAAACGCGGUCUGAUUCGAGGCGACGAAGUCCUCUCCGGUCUUAACAACGGCGAUGUCGGAUUUGAAAGUGGCGUUCGUAUUGGAUGUGAGGAAGUUCGUCAUUUUUGACGAAGGGUGAAACAAUGGAUCCUCGGGCUGGUAAGUUGCGGCGAUUAUAGUGAAAACCAGAACUCCAACAACGAAUAGAGUGAAGCAUAGAUUCUUAAUCAUGGCUAGCGCAUUCGGGCCUAGGUUUUCAGCUCUGAAACUUCCGUUUCUAGACAGCAUAAAUGACGGCCGAUUCAUUUUUCACGCUCUACCGCAAACUGCAUUAAAAUGAGGAAAACAAUGAAAUUGAGCAACGGAAUCGAAAUGCGGAGCUGCGAAUUAAGCAAAAAUGGGGUCAGAGAUGAUAAAAAACCUGCGGCCGACACAGAUCUGCUUGAAGUAGGGCAAUCGAUGCAAAAUGGUGUAUCUGAAUGCGGAUGAUUAUUGCCUCAUGCAGAGAGAGGAGAGAAGGAUCAGCUCACCAGCAUUCUUCGCUUCAUACUCUGCUUAAUUAGAGGGAGAGAGAGAGAGAGAGAGAGGNUUAAGUAGAGAGAGAGAGAGAGAGAGAGAGAGGGGAAGGAGUGUGGACUUGAGCUACUGCAGAAUCUCAAAAAGUGAAAAUGAUGAUGGUGAACUAUAAGACGUGGUGCUAAAAUGCGCCGCGGUGAUGGCCUUCGUAAUUUUGCGCCUUGUUUGGUUAUUGGCAUUUAAGUUUUUUNCUGCAUUUUUGGUUUCAGAAAAUAUACUAUAAAAUUGGCAUUUUUAGUCUAUCAUUAUAAGUUUUAUAGAAACACAUGUCUUAGUCGGAAAAGAGACAUUUUUGUCAUUCCAAUUUAAUUUAGAUUUAUAUGUCGUAAUCAUAUGUUUUAAUAUUAUUUCUUGUUUUUAAUAACUCUUUACUUGUAUCCCUUCUCUUUGUUCGAUUGAUCAUCCAUUAUAUAUUUAAAUAUCUACAUAAUAUUCCAAUAAGUCUAAGCAUGUGAGUUCAAAUGAAGGUUUCAUUAACAAUGUGGUUUUCAUUAAAUAAUUUGAUAAAACACAAAUUAUUGAUAUCAUUAUCUCUUGAUUGAACAAUAUAGUUUGAUACUUCAAGUAGUAAAAUGAAAAUGUAUUUGAUUUUCAUAUUUAAUGUUUUUCACCAUCCAUGCCAUGGUCAAUAUCAUCAAAUCUACAACUUAAAAUGAAGAAAUGGAAAAAACCAUUUUUAGGAGAGAUGAAUCGCUAAAUUUAAGGGAAAAAGAUUAAAUUAGGAAACUUUACAUAAUUUAUUCAGUAUUUCUCCUAAUUUUGAAGAAUAAUUCAUACCCAAAAAAAUCUUACUCGCAUUUAAGUUGGAAAAGUUUAUUCAAAAUAGCAGGUCUAUCCAAACGAGGCCUACAAAACGUGAGGCAUUUGGCUUAUUUGUCAACGGCGUAACGCGCUCUCGGCGCAAUCUAGAUCCGCCGCCCCGCCCCCGAAUUAAAAUAUGCAUUGUUUUGAGAGCGCGAGAGAUCGUGACUGGUGGCGAUUGCUAUCGUGCGCACCGGAGAUGCACCGACAGCUAACGGUGGCAUAAAUGUCAUUUCAUCAUAGUUAUGACCUUAUAAUGGAAUUAAACUAAUGUUUUUAUUUGGCACAAUUGAUUUGGAUAUGCUAGCUACCACCGUGACUUGCAUUUAAAUACAAAAACAUUAUUUAAUUUUAUAAAUAAACUAAAAAAUAUUAUUAUAAAUAGAUGAGGUUCUAAGAAUUUUUUUUAUAUAAUUAUCAAUUGCCUUUAAAUUAAUGUUGAGAUUGAUGUCUGAAAUACCUACAUGAUUUAAACGGUCGAGAUAUUAAACAACAUAAUUGGAGGUCUACGCCAGAAUAUAUCACAACAGUAUUAAUUCAUCGAAAAUUGGCAACCAUAUGAAAAAUAAAAACAAAUGAGAUUUUUAGUUCGCAUCCAAAAUCAAAAUUGCAUGAAAGUUCGGUGUCCCAUUAACAAAAUACCAUAAUAUUUAUUGCAGUUUGUAAUUUAUAAAAUAAUUUUUACAAUAUUUAAAUUUCAUACAGCCUUUUAAUGUUUUACAAAUACAAUAUUCCAAAUUGUUUUAGCAAUAAAACCAUAACAUAUUCAAACCACCAAAUUUAUUUGUGAAAUAAUCUACCACAAGAAAAUCAAGUAAUACGCAUUUUGUCGCAAUAAUCAUCCAUUUUUGUUCGUAUAUUUUUCACUGUUUGUAAUAGUGAUAAGAGUGGAAAAAACCAACUAAAAUCUAGAAUGUUUCCCUAACUAAAAACUAACAGAAAUUUACAAGUAAAAACAAACACAAGAAACAUUUAUGGGUUAAGGUUUGUCGAAAUUACCUCGUAGUAGUUGCAGAUACGAGCAGAAGCUUUAACAUUUAUUUCUCCGUCGAUCCGGGAGCCGGGUCGUUAUAAGUCGCGUCUCGUUUCUCGUGUGAACGAAGCUAGCUCUUCGUGGAGGCGUGAGGCGAGCUUCUGAGCUUCGUCCGGUUGAGGCUGAGGUCCAUGCUCUUCUGAACCAUGUCCUGCAGUAGCUUCUUGGCAGUCUCGACUGCCUUGUCUUUCCCAUCGACGUUUGCAGCGAAGUUGUAGACGAUCCUCUCCAGCUCGGAGGAGGUGAGCCGCCGUUCCGGAGGGGAGUCUCUGAGCAAAUCCAGGAGAGUCCGAGCUCGAUCCUGUGCUGUAGGAGUGCCCUCAGCUGUGAGACGAAGGAGGCCGGGUAUGGCGCCUUCUUUUAGAAUGAGCUCUCUGUAUUUAUCGCGACAGCUCUGGCAUAGGAUAGCAGAGCUCCGACUGCGUGGGACAUGCUGACCGAAGAUCCAUCUUCGACGGUCUCCACCAGAGCUAGAAUCCCACCUUCGACGUCUGUGAUUGCAGCUCGUCCCUCUUCAGAGGCAGAGAAGAUCUCGAGCAGGAACGUGGUUUUCUCAGCGAACUUGGAGUACUUCUUGCAUUCUUUCAGGAGGUCUAUCAAUGGAGGCACUGCUUUAGCAUCAAGGGCGAGCUUCGGCUCCUCCUCACACGUCGAGAGGUAGUAAAGGGCUGUGACGGCAUCAACCUUUCCUUGGACGCUUCCUGAGCAGAGGAUCUGUACGAGCAGAAGUGCAGCACCGGAUGCUGCUAUCGUUGGCUUGUUGGGCGGAGCAGACGACAAGGAUAAAAUUGCAGCAGCUGCUAGUUCUCGCAGAUUGCCAGUUCGGUUCUUGAGAAGCUCCACGAGAGGUGGAACGGCACCAGCAGCAACGAUCUUGAUCUUGUUUCUGAUACAUGAGUGCAUUAAAUGGUCAGUCGCUGGCAAUCAAUCGAGCAAACAGUCAUCAACACAUGCGCAGAAUUGAAACGAAGCAACAGAAUAAAGAAUGUAUGUUUGCAAUGAGAAGCAAAAUAGCAAACACUGUUACACUAACUCAAGUAAACUUAAUGAAUUAGUCUCAACUCUCAAGGAAAUCUGUUUAUACUAUAAUCUUUUCUACACCCUAUUUCACCACCAUCCACAAACAAAAACCUUGAAAAACGCAACCACAGUCACACAAGACCUCCAUGUUCACAAAAAGAAUAAUCGAUACUACAAUACAUUCGAGUAUUUACGAAGAACUAAUGCGGUUGAAACCCAAAGACACUUGUAGUUAAGGUCCUCAUAGCACAUCAUCUUUCCUACACCCUAUUUCACCACAAUCCCAUUACAAAUGCAAACAAAGUCGCAAAUAGCCUACCAUUUGCACAACNNNNNNNNNNNNNNNNNNNNNNNNNNNNNNNNNNNNNNNNNNNNNNNNNNNNNNNNNNNNNNNNNNNNNNNNNNNNNNNNNNNNNNNNNNNNNNNNNNNNNNNNNNNNNNNNNNNNNNNNNNNNNNNNNNNNNNNNNNNNNNNNNNNNNNNNNNNNNNNNNNNNNNNNNNNNNNNNCCUCAUUUUGUGAGAUUCUCUAAAAUAUUGGGGUGGGUCCGUGGACGUAGGCAGUUUGGCCGAACCACGUUAAAUAUCAGUGUCAUUAUUUUUCCCGUCUUAGAUAAUUUAUAUCUUUGUAUAUUGCUUUCGAUUUGAUAAUGGUGGAAUAUUUGUGUAUAUUUCCACAAAGACAUUUGUAUUUCAGGUCCUCAAAGCAUAUCACCUUUCCUACACCCUAUUUCACCGGAUUUUACGACAAAAACCUUUGCAAACGCAAAACACAGCCGUACAAUACCUCCAUUUGCACAAAAGGAAUCAACAAAAACUAUGACACAUUUGAGUACUCAGGAAUCCGAAUCGUGAUGAAACCAAAAGAUACUCGUAUUUCAGGUCCUCGAAGCAUAUAAUCUCUACGACACCCUAUUUCACAAUAACCAAAAGAGUUCGGGCACUUUAAGAAUCAGUGUAAAGCGCCACCGAAGAAAAAGGAUCACAAAAAGACAGCGAACGCAGCCACAACAGAAGAUGUAGGCGAGGCGUUGGUCCUGAGCGUGACCAGUCCGAUGGAGUCGUGGGUGCUGGAUUCUGGAGCGUCUUUCCAUUCAUGCAGUAAUGAAGAUAUAAUUGAAAAUUAUGUCUCUGGCAAUUUUGGACAGGUGUAUCUUGCUGAUGAUGAGCCCCUGAAAAUCGUGGGAAAGGGAGACGUGCGAGUUGUGACAUCCAACGGAUCCGAGUUGAAGCUGAAUCAAGUCAGACAUAUUCCUGGACUGAAAAGGAACUUACUUUCAAUUGGGCAGCUUGAUGCAGAGGGUUACACAGUGACAUUUGGCUGCAGUAAUUGGAAGAUAAUCAAGGGAGCUAUGAUUGUAGCUCGUGGAAAGAAGGAUGGCACGUUGUAUAUGACAACUAACUCCAAAGAUUGCAUUGAUCUUGCAGGAGGAGUGAACAAUGCAGAUUUGUGGCAUUGUCGGCUUGGCCACAUGAGCGAAAAGGGGAUGAAGAUAAUGUGUUCGAAGGGUAGGCUGCCUGGCCUGGAAACUGUUGAAGUUGGCCUGUGCGAGGAUUGCGUGUUCGGAAAGCAGAAAAGGGUAAGCUUCUCGAGAGGCGGCAGAACCUUGAAGACGCAGAAACUGGAGCUGGUCCAUAGUGAUCUAUGGGGACCGGCGCCUGUAAAAUCCCUUGGUGGCUCGGAAUACUACAUAACCUUCAUUGAUGAUUCCACUCGAAAGGUAUGGGUUUAUUUCUUAAAAUAAUCGACGCAUUUGAUACUUUCAGGAAGUGGAAAGCCCUUGUAGAAACUGAAACAGGGCUGAAAGUAAAGUGUCUACGAUCCGACAAUGGAGGAGAAUAUGAACUUAAGGAGUUCAAAGACUACUGUGCUGAGAAUGGGAUUCGCAUGGAGAAAACCGUGAGAGGAACUCCCCAGCAGAAUGGUGUAGCAGAACGGAUGAACAGAACACUAAAUGAGCGAGCAAGAUGCAUGAGGCUGAAAAGUGGGUUGCCUAAGAUGUUUUGGGCAGAUGCAGUUAACACAGCUGCAUACCUAAUCAAUAGAGGUCCAUCAGUUCCAUUGGAGUUUCGGAUACCUGAGGAAGAAUGGACAGGAAAAGAGGUAAACCUAUCUUUUCUACGCAUCUUUGGAUGUGUUGCUUAUGCUCAUAUUGAUCAUGUUAAUAGAAGCAAGUUAGAUGCUAAAUCUCUUAAGUGUACGUUCAUUGGUUAUGGUGGAGACGAGUUCGGUUAUAGGCUCUGGGAUGAGCAGAACCGAAAGGUUAUUCGAAGUAGAGAUGUGGUUUUCAAUGAACAGGUGUUGUACAAGGAAAGAGUGAAAGCAUCUAGCCCUGGCAAUUCUGAUUCCCAAGUAGUCGAGUUAGACAUCUCAAACUCGAGUGGGAGCAAGGAGAGCCAGAAUUUUGAAGAGGUUCCAGAUGAGGAGCCAAGAACCCCACCACCAAGCAAUCCGCUGCCAAGACCGGUUAGAGAGCGACGUGCACCUGAUAGGUACUCGCCCUCUAACUUUUAUUUACUACUUACUGAUGGUGGUGAGCCUGAAUGCUAUGCAGAGGCAGAUACUGGUAGUAAUAAGCGGAUGUGGAGAGUUGCUAUGGAUGAUGAGAUUGAAUCUCUUAUCCUAAACGGCACUUGGGAACUUGUAGAGCUCCCGAAGGGGAAGAAGGCAUUGCAUUGCAAGUGGAUCUAUCGAAUCAAGAUUGAAGCUGAUGGUAGCAAACGCUACAAGGCAAGGCUGGUUGUCAAAGGGUUUGAGCAACGAUACGGUAUUGAUUAUACCGAUAUUUUUACUCCUGUUGUGAAACUGACCACUAUUCGUUUAGUGUUGAGCAUGGUAGUUGCAGAAAACUUGUUGUUACAUCAGAUGGAUGUAAAGACAGCGUUCCUUCAUGGUGAUUUGGAGGAAAACUUGUACAUGACACAGCCCGAGGGAUUCGUGGUGAAAGGAAAGAAAAUCUUGUGUGCAAGUUGAAAAAGAGCUUGUAUGGCCUGAAGCAAGCUCCGAAGCAGUGGUAUAAGAAGUUUGACAGUUUUAUGUUGGAGAUUGGCUACGCGAGAUGCCACGCUGAUCAUUGUUGCUACUACAAGAGGUUCGACAAAAGUUAUCUUAUCCUUUUGCUAUACGUUGACGAUAUGUUGAUCGCAGGAGCUGAUGCAAAGGAAAUGGAUAAGUUGAAGAAGCAAUUGUCUGAACGAUUCUCCAUGAAAGAUCUUGGAGAGGCCAAUCAGAUUCUUGGCAUGAGGAUCAAAAGAGACAAGGCGGCAGGAAAGUUGUAUCUUUCACAAGCCAACUACAUUGAGAAGGUAUUGGAAAGAUUUAACAUGCAGAAUUCGAAGCCGGUGAACAUCCCGUUGGGUUGUCACUUCAAGCUGUCGAAGAAGGAGUCGCCAUGUACAAAGGAGGAACGUGCCGAGAUGAUAAAAGUUCCUUAUGCAUCGGCAAUAGGCAGCAUUAUGUACGCCAUGGUGUGUACAAGGCCAGAUAUUGCGCAUGCAGUGGGAGUAGUAAGCCGAUUCAUGGGUGAUCCGGGCAAGCAACAUUGGGAAGCAGUCAAGUGGAUUCUUCGUUACUUAAGAGGUACCACGGACAAGGCUUUAUGUUUUGAUGGCAAGAGUGCCAAGUUGGUUGGCUAUGUUGAUGCAGAUUUGGCAUCAAAUGACCUGGAAGGUCGGAAGAGUACAACCGGGUAUGUAUUUACUUUUGGUGGUACUGCUAUUUCUUGGUCUUCUAAGUUGCAGAAGAUUGUCACGUUGUCUACUACGGAAGCUGAGUAUGUAGCCGUGACGGAAGCAAGCAAGGAGAUGGUAUGGUUGCAGAAUUUCUUGGGAGAACUUGGGAAGAAGCAUGAGAAUAGUACACUCUUUAGUGACAGUCAAAGUGCUAUUUUCUUGGCUAAGAAUCCAGCGUUUCACUCAAGGACAAAGCACAUUGAGUUGAAGUAUCACUACAUCCGUCACCUGCUGGAGAUGAAGAUCUUACAACUUGAGAAGAUCCAGGGAAGCAAGAACUCAGCCGAUAUGUUAACCAAGGCAGUUGGCAUAGAUAAACUGGAGUUGUGCUCAACUUCAGUUGGUUUUCUAGAAUGAAGACAGUAAGGCUGCUGCGUUGAUCGAGGUGUGAAGACAGAUUAAAAUCAGUCUUCAAGUGGGAGAUUGUUAGCCAAAAAUAUGGAGGCUCCACCACCACAACUUUGAGGAAAGUUGUCUGCCACCACCACAACUUUGCCACCACCAAAGGGGAAAGUGCAGCUCCAUUUUGGAGUGUGUGGUGGAAUCAACUUUGAGAAAGUUGGGAUGUGAGGUGGAAUCAACAAAUGGAGGCUAUAAAUAUGUGCAUCGCAGCAACUUGAAGUGCAUCCCAAAAUAUUCACAAAAGAAGUCUUGUGAAAGAAGUGCUAGAGAGUGAGAAAAUAUUGUGAGAGAAAACUUCAGUGUGGAAGUUAAACACGAGUGAUAAAAGUGAGUCGAGAGAUAGCCUCUGUGUAGGCAAGAUACAAAAUACAGUGUGGUAUUGUUGUACUCCUCAUUUUGUGAGAUUCUCUAAUAUAUUGGGGUGGGUCCGUGGACGUAGGCAGUUUGGCCGAACCACGUUAAAUAUCGGUGUCAUUAUUUUUCCCGUCUUAGAUAAUUUAUAUCUUUGAUAUUGCUUUCGAUUUGAUAAUGGGUGGAAUUAUUUGUGUAUAUUUCCCAACAACAGAUGUCUCUUGUGUAGGGAUACCAAGAAUGCAUUGACAGUUAUAAAGCGCAUGACCUCUAACAGUUAUUAAUGGCUAAAUGAUCAGAGUUUGACGAGGAGAGUUACAUCUGUCAAAGAAGAAAGUUAUGAUCUAUGUUGCUCGGACUCUCCAAAAAUGGGAGAGUACCCGUGUCUGUCGGGUACGACAUGGAUCCGGGUGCGGGAUACGCAUCGGAUUCUUCAUAAUUCAUGCAGACUCGGCGGUGGAAAGGAGAUAGAUGAUUUUUUUUUCUGCAAAUGACAUCCGCGAAGAAGAUGAUCUAAGGGAAAAUUGACUGUGAACUGUGGUACAGUUGUAUCCACUAUCCACUAUUACAAUAAAAUAUAUUAUUAAUUAGUGUGAGCAAAUUAAUGUGGAGUACAACUGUAUAUCAUUCAUUCCUAAUUCUAAUAUAAUAUAACAACUAAUCUAUUAAACAUUAAUGUAUAUAUAGAAUACCCAUUAUCUAAACACUAAAAAUCUAAUCGUCACUUACCUUACUCCCCCAAGCCGCAAAUUUAUCCCCUAUUCCCCCCUCCCAAAAAAACAGAAACUCUACAUGUUCAGUUGGAAUAUCAAUCGUCUCCAAUUUUUUAUUUAAGAAUUUGUAAUGGCUUUAGAAAGCAUUAGUUCAUUCGAAAAACACCCAAAAUUCAUCUAUGGCAGCCGAAGAAAACAGAAAUGCUGUUGUUGUUCGUCCAACCAGCGGCGUCGACGACAAACCAUUGUGGAGUCACAUUACUGUCCUAAGUGUUGCCGCAGGAGGAGGAGGAAAUCGAACAUGGACUUGCAACUACUGCAGCAAGAGAGUUGUUGGGUCUUAUUCAAAUGUGAAAGCCCAUCUUUUAAAGCUUCCAAAUCAUGGUGUAGCACCAUGCAAAUCAGUUUCAAGGGAUAUGCUUCAACAAAUCAAAGAAGAGCACGAUGAGGUCGAGAGAAAAAAAUCACAGGAUGCGUAUCAAGAUAAGCAAAAGGCAGAUUAUCUAUCCCUACCGGAAGGUUCUGAUUUGCAGCAACAUAAGAAAAGAAAGGGCAAAGAGGUUGGGCCACUGGAGAAGUCAUUCAACAUCAGCCAACGAGAGAAGGCCAACAAACAAUGUGCAAGGAUGUUCUUUGCAAGUGGUCUUCCAUUUAACUUUGCAAAGUCUCCCUUCUUCAUUGAUUAUUCAAGAACUUUAGCCAACAACAGUUUGUCAGGCUAUACUCCACCAACAUACAAUAGAAUAAGAACAACACUUCUUGGACAAGAAAAUGAACAUGUCUACAGAAAGCUCCAGCCCAUCAGAGAUUCAUGGAGGAAGAAAGGAGUUUCUAUUGUUUCUGAUGGAUGGUCAGAUCGAUAGAGGAGGCCGUUGAUCAAUUUAAUGGCUGCAUCUGCUAGAGGAGCCAUGUUUCUUAAAUCCGUUGAUGCAAGUGGCGUAAUCAAGGAUGGGGAAUAUGUGAGCAACGUGUUUGAAAAAGCAAUCAAAGAGGUCGGAGAGUCAAAUGUGGUGCAAGUCAUCACAGACAAUGCAAGUAAUUACAAGUCUGCAGGGUCGAUGAUCGAAUCAAGGUAUCCUUACAUAUUUUGGACUCCUUAUGUGGUACAUAAUCUGAAUUUGGCAUUAAAAAACAUAUGUGAUUCUACUGAAAAAUCACCCCAAUAUGCUCAGUGCAAGUGGAUUUCUGAGUUGGUUAGUGAUGUCCAGAAUAUUUGAAAUUUUGUUGUUAAUCAUGGCAUGGCAUUAGCUAUUUUUAAUAGCUAAUGUAAUCUGAGUUUGUUGAGGAUGGCUGAAACUAGAUUUGCAUCUAGUAUUAUUAUGACAAACACUUAGGGAAGUCAAAGGUGCAUUAGAAAAAAUGGUUAUGGAUUCAGAUUGGAGAAUUUAUAGAGAAUGAAGUAAUGAAGGUAAAGCACAAGAGGUUAAACAAUGCAUUGUGACUGAUGAUUGGUGGGAUAAGUUAGAUUAUUUUUUGAAAUUUACUGAGCCUAUUGUUGAUAUGUUAAGAAAAGCUGAUACGGAUACUCCUGUCUUACAUUUGAUUUAUGAUAUGUGGGAUACCAUGAUUGAAAAUGUGAAGAAGAUUGUUUUUGAACAUGAACAAAAUGAUUUGAUUUCUGGUUCAUCGGAUUUUUUUGAUGUUGUCCAUCAAGUGUUGGAGAGUAGAUUGAAUAAAAGUAAUACGCCAUUGCAUUGCAUGGCGCAUUCUUUGGUUCCAAAGUAUUAUCAUGAAUCGUGGCUUCAAAGUGAAAAUAAUGGAAUUCCACGGAUUGCGCCUCAUAAGAACAGCGAGGUCUCAAUGAAUAGAAGUAUGUCUCUUAAAAAGUUAUUUCCAAAUGUGAGUGAUUUGCGAAAAGCUUAUGCUGAAUUUGGGGCGUUUUCUACUGGAUGUGGCUAUUUCAAUGAGCCACAUGUGAUUGAUGCACGAUCCUAUGAAGAUCCAGUGUCAUGGUGGGCAAAUUAUGGUGCAUCGACACCUAUCUUGCAAAGUUUAGCUUUUAAGCUACUAGCACAGCCAGCCUCUUCAUCAUGUUGUGAACGAAAUUAGAGCACAUACUCUUAUAUCCAAAAUAUUAGAAGGAACAAAUUGGCACCAAGCAGAAUUGACGAUCUUGUGUUCGUGCACUACAACUUACGAUUGUUGUCACGAAAGGAAAAUGAUUAUAAAAAAGGAGAAACAAAGUAUUGGGACUUGUGUAUGUAAUUUUUAGUUUUAAGUCUUUAUUAUUUAGGUUAAUAUAUAAUAUUUUAUCUUGAAUUUUAUAGGUGCUGAUAAAGCUAUUUCGGAAGAGAAUGCAACUGUUGAGCUAGAAGGAAUAUCACUUGAUGAUCCAGAUUUAGAGAGUUAUUUUGUAGUUUGAUCCAGAUUUAAAGAUUUAGAAGGACUAUCACCUGAUAUAUCAGCUCCUUAUUUUGUAGUUUGAUGUUUUUUUGGUAUUUUCUUGGAAAUUAUCAUUUAUAAAAUGAUUUUCUAUUGUCUACUAAAGAAUUAUCUUUUUAUUUAUCAAACGUAUCCUCGUACCUGUGUCCUAAUUUCGGAUCCUUUUUAGCCGUGUCCACGUAUCCUAAGUUUAGAAAAAUUAAGAGUCUGACACAUAUCCCCGCACCCGUGUCCUACACCCGCACCCGAGUCCGAGCAACAUAGGUUAUGAUGAUCUUUUGGAAAAGUACACCUAUUUUCAAUGGCAAUAUGAGAUUGACAUGAAAGCUAAGAUAGCAGCACAGGUGACACAUCGGUAAUAUCAGCCCGAGCCACCACAAUUUGAAGAUGUUUAUCCAAUAAAUAUAUGAAUCAACUGUAAAUAUUGAUGAUAUAAGGGCUGAAAAUGGUUAAUAUUUUAUAUUUCAUGGAGUUUAUUUAUUUUAGCCUCCCUAGAGAGAGAGAGAGAGAGAGAGAGAGAGAGAUAGAUAGAUAGAUAGAUAGAUUGGAUCGAGUGGGAAUGUUAUUUUUUAUGAUAAUGAGAAUUCAUAUGAAUAAAACAGUAUAAGUUCAUGAAUAAGCUGCUUGUAAUACACAAAUAACCAUUUAUAUUUGGAUUCGAAUCCUGGAGAGGGCAAUUUUUUCUACCAAUUAACUGAAUUACGAUUAUUUGUGCAUUGCAAGCAGCUUAUUCAUAGAUUUAUACUGACUUAUUUGUUUUGUUCAUUCUCACGAAAAUAAUAUUCUCACUUAAUCUCAGCCCUAUAUAUAUAAAUUCUUCAUCGACACAAUUAUGGCCGCUAAUGGUAGAAAAAUAUGAGGAGAUGAAAUAGUUUUACAUUUUACAUAAUUAUGGUUGCUUAAAAUUAAUUGGUAAACUAACGAAAGUACAUUUGAAAACUAAUUUUAUUAUCUCGUGCAUGUUUUAGCUUAUUUACAUUUUCAUCAUAUUUUACACAGAGUCACAGACAAUCAGACUUCUUAAUUCAUACCAACAAAUUAAUACUCCCUUGGUGCAUCAAAAAAUAUACGAAUUAUAAUAAAUUAAUUAAAUGUUAAUUAUGCAUAAAUUAAUUAAGUGUUUCACUUUUAUUAUAACUUUAAAUUAAUUAAUUUGGUUCAAUAAUAUAUCCAGUAAUAAUAAUGAUAAAUAAUGAGAAAUAUUGACAAUUAUAAUUAAGUAGGUUGUGUGGGUAGAAUAAAGGGCUCACUUUUAUGGUUGUUAGUUAAGUAUCUGCAUGUAAUUAGCUUGUAGCUCGAGGGGUUAAAAUGCAAAUAGGAGAUGUUGAGGGAGUUGAUAGCUAUUCUGGAAAAAUAGUUAUAACACAUCCAAACGGAUCUAUUUUUCUGUUUCCUUGAAGAGCAGUUUUCUCAUCUCACUUUUACAGCUCGUUUUCCCUUCUUUUUUAUAAGCUCAUAUUAGUCUUCAUUUUAGGUUGUUGAUUACUUAAGAUUUCUAUUACUGAAAAAAGCUUAGUUGAUAGCGAGGAUAUAUAGCAAUCUUGAUAUAUUAGGAAGCUAUACACUUUCUUCUAGCUUGAGAGUUUUUUGGUUGUAAUCUAUAAAAUCUUGAGUGUUUCUAGUCAGGGACGGAGCAGGGGGGGGUGCCCGGGGGGCUGAAGCCCCCUCCCAAAUUUUGAAUUUUUUNUUUUUAAAUUUAUUUUCAAAAAUAUAUAUAGAUAUAUGUCUUAACUUUGUUAUACAAAAGUUGAUUUGCUUGUUAUAUUCACCUGUAUAUACUUAAUUUAAGGAUAAUCGUGUUAUUUAAAACUAUAUAAUCUAUUAAAAUAUUGUUCAUUAUUAUUAUUAUGCUUGUCUUGUAAUAGAAAGUGUAUGAAAUGCCCAAAAAAAAUUGUUUGUUAUUUAGAUUAUACUUCUCUUUUAAUAAAAAAUACCUAAAAUAUACGAAAUGUUCAAAAAAAAUUGCAGUGUUUUGAAACUAAUUUGUAAUAUAUUGAAACUAUAUAAUCUAUGAAAAUAUUGUUUGUUAUUAUUACUAUUAUGCUCAUAUUUUAAUAAAAAAAUGCUUUAAAUAUACGGAAUGCCCAAAAAAAAUUCUCGGGGGCUACCUCCCCCGAACCCCCGUAUAGGUUCAGCCCCCCGAACUUAAUUCCUGGCUCCGUCCCUAUUUCUAGUGGAAUCAUUGGCUUCUCUUCCAUAAAUGUAGAUUGAAAGAUCGAACCAUGUAACUCGGUGUCUUGUUCGUUUGAUUGUUGCGUUUUUGCUUUCUCACAAACAAAUCCACAACAAUUGUAAUUGAAAAUUGAUUAAUUUGAUUUAAUAGUGGGUCCAAUAAUGCAAUAUGGGUAAAUAAGAGAUAAUACUGAAAAUUAUAUUGAAUAGGGCAAACUUAUUAAAAAUGAAAAUAUGGAAUGAGUAUAUUGUGAAUGUGAACAUUAGUGUGUUUGAAGAUCUGAAGAUUAGAGAAAUUGUGAAUUUUGGUUGUGUGACUGUGAACACUAGUGUGUUUGAAGAUAUGAAGAUUAGAGAAAUUAUGAAUUUUGUUAGGCAUGGAUUGGAAGACGAUUGUAAUUUUAUUCUAUUGUUAUGAUUAUUUCAGCAUUUAUUUAAUUUAAUUAAUAAAUUUAAUUUCUAGAUAAAAAUUUCAAAUUAAUUAAUUUAAAUAUUGACCUUAAAAUUGAUUUAAAAUCACUAAUUAUACAUAUAACCACUAACUACAAAAUGAGAAACAUACUUAAACAACUAAAUACUAACUCCUUAAAUUUCGUGUGCAAAAGAAACGUCUCAGCUUCGUUGAUAUUUUUUUUGAAAGGACCAAAAUUAAUAUUUUAUGUGGACGAACGGAGUAUUAUUUAUCUUUAGUAAAUAUUAUUAUUAUGUAGCAAAGUAAAUAAACUAAAUAAAUAUGAUCAUAUUUAUCAUAUAGAAGUACAUAUAUUUUGUAGAGUCGGUCUCCCGUGAGACCGGUCUCAUCCGGUCUUAUCCAUGAGACUCGUUCUCACCAAAACACUAUAAAUAAAAGCUAGCCGCUAUUCUACAAAUAAGAUGUGUACGCUCCUUCGCCUACCAUCUCUCAUGCACAUGUUCGAUUCCUAGGAGUAGCGUGCGCGCUUUUUUAUUUUAUUUUCGAUUCUAAGGAGCAACGUAUAAAUAAAAAUUAUAUGGUCCUCUACAAUUUAUGAUAUCUAUGAAACAUCUUCAUAUCAAUGAUUACUUUUUCUUACGAUAAUAAUUACUUGAUCAAAUAAAUUAAAAAUCAAGUUCUCGUAAGUAAGAAUAACGAUUAUUUUAAAAAUAAGUAACGUUUUACAAACAUUAAUUUUAUUCAUAUCGAUUAUUAUUUUUCAUCACAACAAUAAUUACUUUGAAUUAUUCAUAUUUUUCAAUCAGCCUGUGACUCGCACCCAGCCCGCUCCUACCCACGCUCGUCCCUGCCCCGACCCGUAUAACAACUUUUGAAACAUAAGUAAUGAAAUAUAGAUGACGGUGAAAUAAAGUAUAUAACUUUUGCUCAUUUAAUAAUUCGAAUAUAAAUUGGUUUCAAAAAAAUAAAAUAAAAUAAUAAUUCAGAUAUAAAUGAGCGUAAAUUUUGUUCAACAAUACUCGAAUAAAUAUAUAUAGAAUUAGACAAGACAAUUUUGUUUUCAGCAUAAGAAAAGGACUUUAGAAUGGGCGAAACAGAAGGUGCAAAUACUGUGUGCUGUUUGUGUGUGUGUGCUUUGUCCAAAUACAGCAAAGAGAAGAAAACUUUGGUGGGUUUGCGGUGACUUUUAGGCCCAAUCUAUAGUUAGGUUCAUCUAAUAGACAACCUUUGCUUCUUACUUCCAAUAUCUAACGUUUUUUUGGGUUUGACAAUCUGCUGCCUGCGUCUUUCUGCAAUCUAUGUUUUUGUGUUUCUUUCUUAUUCUUUUAUUUAUAUAUAUAUAUAUAUAUAUAUAUAUAUAUAUAUAUAUAUAUAUAGGGGAGAGGUUCAAAUAAGAACCACUAAAUAAAAUUAGAACAGAGAACCAUUUUAAACCAUUCGAUCAUCAAGAUCUACGGUGGAUGCAUCAUCUUGGUGAAUGAAUGCAGAUCCUGGGUUCGAAUCCUGAAGGGAGCAAAAAAUUUAUUAUUUUCGGAUGCAUUAAAUUUAAUAGCGAAUGCAUUAAUUUAUAUAGUAGAUGCAUUGAUUUUAAUGGUUCUUAUGUUCUCACGAUAAGUGUGGUUCUCACUAUAACCGCACCCUAUAUGUAUGAGAGACAAAAUACAUAUCAUAUAAUAUAGUGCCUUCAUUCCAUUGAUAAUGACUCAUAUCAUUUUUCGUCUGUCCCAUUGAGCCUAAUUAAAAAUAACAUUUACUUUACACUAUAAACUUACUUUAUAUCCCGUCCUUAAAAGUGGUCACUACUUACUUUACAUUCUGAUCAAGAUGGAAUUAAGGAUCCAUCUUUUGAGAAGGAAAGUUCAAAUAUGCUGCUUUAAGCCUAUCCAAGGCCUAAAUAUAUAAGCCAUACCUAUAGAUAAAUUAUUAUACUCGUAUUAUUUUGAUACUAUCGCAUAUUUAAAAUCACAUUGGGUAGAUCUGAAGCAUAUACAAAUUCGGAUUUAGUAGAGUUGAGACACAUAAUUCGACAGAACUGCGACAAGUCUGAAAAAAGAGAAAAGUUUGAAAACGAAAGUCAAAAUUAAAUAAGUAAUAAAUACACGAAGUAUACCCAAAGAUUGAUCAGAGCUUACCAUUAUUACUAGAUCUGAAAGAUAGAAAAUAUAUGUAAUUUAAACUCUCUUAUUUAGACAAAGUACUCUUUUACCUUGACUGAUGCUUUUCCAAUUGAGUUUUCGUCAGAAAGGCUUUAACGAGGCUUGGAAAAAAAGAAUCUUUAUUAAUGGGCCCUUAGCAUUAGGUUUAGAAAGUUUAGAUAGCAAGAAAUAUUCAAAUGUAAGGCCAUUAACUAUUCCUUCAUUCAAAAAGAUAUACCAAAGAAGAAACUAUUUCAAUCCUCAACAAGCUUUACAAUUUGUUAAUGUUUGAGUUCGAUUUCAUCUCGAGCUUAUCUUACUCUAAAACACUUUCUCUUACAUUAAAAAAUAAUCAAAUAACAAUUAAACUAGUACAAAUUAAACUAAAUAUUCAAAUAAAUAAAAAUACAAUUCAAACGAUAUUGGUGAGAUUUGAAUCAAUAAUCUCUUAUGAAAGAGAGAUUUUGGUGUAUCAAAGAAAAGUGAAAAAUCCUAACUGAUUUUCUUAAAAUUGAUAUCGAUAUUUUAAGUCUAAGCACGUCUUAAAAGCUAGUUUGUUGACAAAUGGGAUCUUCUGUCCCACAAUUUAGUGUGUACCACCGUCACUACAAAAAAACGCGUAAUUACCGGCGAAAAUUACCGGCGGCGAUGUUGCCGUCGGUAAGUAACGGCGGCAUUUCAGGCGACCCGAACUUUCGCAAUCACCGGCCAAUUACCGACGGCAAAAUCGCCGUCGGUAAGUGGCGGCGUUGUUGCCGCCGUUAAUUUUAAAAUACGCAAUAAUUAAUUAAUUUUAUACAAUUAGCGGCGGCAAUUGCCGUCAGUAAUUGUUAAAAUAUAGGGCAGCGUAUUCCAUUCUUUUUUCAGUUUUGUGCCGCACACGAACAGAAACCCCCCCCCUUCCCCUGCUGCUGCUGCUUCCGGUCCGACCGCCUCCGCCGUCCGCCGCCGCCGCGUAGGUAACUCUCUCUCUCUUUCUUGCUCUCUAUCUCUCUCUCUCUCUUUUUAAUUUAAUUAUAUAUAUAUAAUUAUUUAAUUUUCACUUAUAUUCUUUAUUGUAGUUCGACGACCUCGUUUCGCCGCCUUCUUCACGACACCCACCGGAAACCACCACCGUACGCUCUCUUAUUUAUUUAUUUAAUUAUUUAUGAAUUUAUUUAUGUAUUUAUAUGUUAAUUAAAUAGAUUUAUUUGUUAUAUAUAGUUAAUUAAUUUAUAAUUGGCUUUGUUUAUAAAUAAAUUAUAUGAAGGAAGCAUGAAUAAUUUUAAAUUAUAUUAAUCAAUUAAUAUAUGUUGUUAGUUUAAUUUUAAAUUAUGAAGCAUGAUUAAUUUUAAAUUAUAUUAAUUUUAAUCAAUUAGUUUAAGUUGUUUGUUAUAAUAAUUUAUAUAUGUUGGAUAAUUUUGUUAAAUUAAAUGUUAUGUGCUAUGUGUUUAUGAAAUGUUAUGUUAUUAUAUAUAUUGUGGGAUAGAUUUAAUCAAUUUCUUAAGGAUCUUCUCCCUUUGGGAUAGAAAUUGAUUAUUUCUUAAGGAUCUUCUCCCAACAAAUGAUUGUUUUUAAUUUAAUUACCUUGAUUUUUAUUGCUUUUAUUUGUAUUGUAUUAUUGAUUCGACAUUGGGGGGCACGUGGGCGGGUCUCAGUCGACUCGUAUCCUGCAGCAGUAUAUGGUAUGUAAUUAAAAAAAUAUUAAGUUCAUAUAUAUAUAUAUAUAUAGGGGCGCGCUCCAGUGAGACCCCCUAUUUUCGUGUAACAUGAGUACAAUGAAUAAGACAUAUAAUACUAAUGAACAAACGUAUAUAUAAUGAACAAGAUGUAUAUACUGAUGAAAAUAAAUUUAAAAUUACGUAAUGAAUAAGACAUAUAUAGUGAUGAACAUGGCCGUGUAUACUGAUGAAUAACAAAUUUAAAUAUUCUGCUCCCUUCAGGAUUCGAACCCUGCGAAAAAUCACCGUCUAGAUACAAUAUCAGUCAUAGGAUUGAUAAAUAACGCACCGGAUCGUGCCCUAGAUCUCACUAAAAUUAGGGAGUCUCAUUGGAGCGGCCUACUAUAUAUAUAUAUAUAUAUAUAUAUAUAUAUAUAUAUAUAUAUAUAAUAUCUUGACUAAUAUAACUUAUUUAUCUUAUAUAAAUGCAUCUACAGAGCUUGGAGCCUGAUUUUCCCCAGGAUGCACCGAACUAUGCCACCUUCCUCCGCCUCCACAUGUACGCCGACGGAAGUUAUACGUCGGAGAGAGAUGCAAGAAUUGACGUAAGUGUUUAAGUUUAUUCAAAUAUUUAGUGAAUGUAUUUAUUUUCUAACAAUUAUGCAUUGUUAUGUAUGAAUUAGGCCGAGGUUCAUCGACUGGCCGCUGCCACAGGACGAGAGUCACGGCUAGAUGAGGUGUAUUUGGAGGUGGUGCAUCCGGAUAGGUCACGGAUCUACGGCGUCGGGAGUGCCGGGCAGAGUCAGGCUAGUAGGGGGUCUAUCCGCAGCACGGGCACUUCUGCGGUGUCUCAGCAGCUUUAUGAGACACAGAUCUCCACGCUGGAGGAGCGAUUGGCGGCAGAGCAAGCAGCACGCCAAGAGAUGCAGGACCGCAUGGCGGCAGAGCAAGCAGCACGCCAAGAGAUGCAGGACCGCAUGACUCAAUUGGAGGCGUUUAUGAGGAUGUAUAAUGCUCAGCCACCUCCACCCCCUGAUGCCGAUGAUGAUGAUGAUGAUGCUUAGGACUUUCCGUCUUUUAUUACCAUGCUAGACUUAUAUUUAUGUUUUCAAACAAAAUUACAUUUGCACUUUCUUUUCAAAUUUAUGUUUUAUUGAACUAUAUAUUUCAAGUGCUUUAAUAUUAAACUAUAUAUGUUUUAUAUAUUUAUGGCAAUGAUGAUGAUGAUUGCAUUUAACAUAAACAAAUAAAUUCAAAUCACAUUAUAAUAACCAAAUUAAAACACUUUUGGUGUAUUAAUGUUAAUUUUAUUAAUUAAUAUUUAAUUAAUAAUUAAAUAUUUUACCGACGAUAAAAAUAAGGACCGAAACGAACUCGAUCACUAAUUAACAACAUAUUUCAGGUAUUAUCUCCACAUAUUCAAAGAUUAUAAAUAUAUGAGUGAGUAUAUAGCAUUUAAAUGAAUUAAUAGAUGUAGAUAUAUCAAUAAUACGAGUGUUCUGUACUGGUGACCACUCGAAAAGAAUUUCAAAGUUAAGCGUGCUUGACACAGAGCACAAGCAAGAUGGGUGACCCACUGGGAAGUCGGGUCACCGACUGGGAAGUUCGUCUAAAGUAUGCAAUACCGUAUAAAUACGGAAAUAAAUUGUGGAUAUACAAUAAAAUAAAUACUCCCUCCGUCCCAUUAUUUAUGGGACAACACUGUUGGGCACGGAGAUUAAGAAGAGUAGAAUGAAGGGAAUUGUUAUUGUUAAUUAACACACACACGUGCACUUACACACUCUCACGCACACUCUCUCUCUCGGCCUCUCUCUCGCCGGACCGGUACACGGCGGCGGGGCCGCCGGCGAGCGCCGCCUCGUCGGCCCCUCUCCAUCCCCCUCGUCGGCCCCUCUCCGGCCACUGUCCAAAUCGACAAGCAAAAUUCCAACAACCAAAUUUUCAGAAUUUCAGAGAACCAAAUCAACAACCAAAUUUCAGAGAACCAAAUUUCCAGAAAUUCCAAGAACCAAAUCGACAAGCAAGAUUCCAAAUCAACAAUUAAAAUCAACAACCAAGAUCGAAAUUAAAAUUUCAAACAAGAUCGAAAUUAAAAAUUUCUAGAAUCAAAUCAACACAAUAAUUUUGAAGAGAGAAGGCGUGGUGCGCAGAUCGACGCGGGUGGACGGCGGACGUGGACGACGCGAGUAAAUCCCCCAAAUCGUUGGAAGCACGACGGCGGUGGAAGGACGAUGGCAGUGGGAGAUGGUGGAGCCCCAAAUCGGAGCCCUAAAUCCCCAAACUCACCGUCGACUUCCCUUCGUCCCCAAAUCCACGAGGCUUCUUCUCCGCGAGGCCGACCAUGUCGACGACGAUGGAGGCGGCGCUGGAGGAAAGCGGCGUGUUAGAGGAGGGCGGCGCGCUGGAGGAAGGAGUGAGGCCAAAGGUGUCGGCUACUGGUAGCAGCGAGCAAGCUUCUUCUUGUCGGCGACGCCCCCUCCUUCGCAAGCUUGAAGCUUUCUCGGCCGCCGGUCAUUUCUUCACCGCGGGCUUCUU
rnacentral:lncRNA from 1 species